CCUACGGGUGGCAGCAGUGGGGAAUAUUGGGCAAUGGGGGAAACCCUGACCCAGCAACGCCGCGUGAAGGAAGAAGGCCUUCGGGUUGUAAACUUCUUUUACCAGGGACGAAGAAAGUGACGGUACCUGGAGAAAAAGCUCCGGCUAACUACGUGCCAGCAGCCGCGGUAAUACGUAGGGAGCGAGCGUUGUCCGGAUUUACUGGGUGUAAAGGGCGUGUAGGCGGAGCUGCAAGUCAGAAGUGAAAUCCCCGGGCUCAACCCGGGAACUGCUUUUGAAACUGUAGCCCUUGAGUAUCGGAGAGGCAGGCGGAAUUCCUAGUGUAGCGGUGAAAUGCGUAGAUAUUAGGAGGAACACCAGUGGCGAAGGCGGCCUGCUGGACGACAACUGACGCUGAGGCGCGAAAGCGUGGGGAGCAAACAGGAUUAGAUACCCGAGUA
rnacentral:rRNA from 1 species